GACGAACGCUGGCGGCGUGCUUAACACAUGCAAGUCGAACGGUGAAGCGCCUUCCUUUUUGGUGGGAGUGUAUGAGUGGCGAACGGGUGAGUAACACGUUAGCAUCCUGCUCCCUUCUUCUGGAUAACCGCAUGACAGUGUGGCUACUACGGGAUAUACUGGGUCUGUCGCAUGAUGGGUCUGGGAAAGAUAUUGUUUCGGUUGGGGAUGGGCUCGCGGCCUAUCAGCUUGUUGGUGGGGUGACGGCCUACCAAGGCGAUGAUGCGUAGCCGGCCUGAGCGGGUCGGCGACACUGCAGCUGCGGCGCGGCCCAGACGCCUACGGGAGGCGGCAGUAGGGAGGAUUAUGGAACGGGGGGCAGACUGCUGGUGCAGCGCCGCGGGGGGGAGGAUGGACUCCUGCGGGUUGUAAACCUUUUUCAGGGAUGAACCAAGGCGUCAGUAACUAUGGGCGGGUUGACGGUAGCUAGAUAGAAAGCGACGGCUAACUACGUG
rnacentral:rRNA from 1 species